GACGAACGCUGGCGGCGUGCCUAAUACAUGCAAGUAGAACGCACAGUUUAUACCGUAGCUUGCUACACCAUAGACUGUGAGUUGCGAACGGGUGAGUAACGCGUAGGUAACCUGCCUGGUAGCGGGGGAUAACUAUUGGAAACGAUAGCUAAUACCGCAUAAUAUUGAUUAUUGCAUGAUAAUUGAUUGAAAGAUGCUAUUGCAUCACUACCAGAUGGACCUGCGUUGUAUUAGCUAGUAGGUGAGGUAACGGCGCACCUAGGCGACGAUACAUAGCCGACCUGAGAGGGUGAUCGGCCACACUGGGACUGAGACACGGCCCAGACUCCUACGGGAGGCAGCAGUAGGGAAUCUUCGGCAAUGGACGAAAGUCUGACCGAGCAACGCCGCGUGAGUGAAGAAGGUUUUCGGAUCGUAAAGCUCUGUUGUAAGAGAAGAACGGGUGUGAGAGUGGAAAGUUCACACUGUGACGGUAUCUUACCAGAAAGGGACGGCUAACUACGUG
rnacentral:rRNA from 1 species